UCCAAGCGUCUGAAUGGCCCCAGGUGCACCGUUUUCUGACGCCCAGCUGCAGGGGCGAUGCUGGAGCAGCUUGGCUCCUGUGGGGACAGAGGGCUCCGUGUGCCCACUGUAGCACAUGUGCUGUAGUUUGUCACCCCUGCUCUACAGUGUAGAUUAAAUACUACUGUUUAGAAAGUUGUCGAGGAGUACACUUGUGCAAUAUUUCUGUUCAUAGCACCGCCAUCUGACCAGUUUUUCGACCAGUACCCUGAACUGCCUUCAGUGUGUCUCUAUCCAUCGCAUCCUGCGUGUAGUUCAGCAGUGUCCACUGGCCUCUUUCCUUGGCGUCUUGCUUCUCAGUGCAUUUUCUGCAUUCCUGCGCACUGUUCUUCCUUCAAGCCACCGCUCUGCUGCAGCAUGUGUCUCAUUUCCCCACUUUUCUCUUUCAUGUUGUACAAUUUAUUCUGCUAACACAGAUGUUUAGAAAAUUCAAAUCUGGCCAUGUUACCACUUGCUUAAAACAUGUCCAUAAUAUCUCAUAAAUUCUUAAUAGAAAGUGUAAAAUUCUUAAAAUGAGCUGAAUUAAAAGCCCAUUGCAGUGUA